GUGCCUGGGCCAGUGAAGGAGAAGGUGGAAUCAAAACUUGGGGAAUUGAAGGAGGCAAUUUCAGGUGGCUCAACCGAGGCCAUUAAGGAAGCAAUGGCUGCUCUAAAUCAAGAGGUGAUGCAACUGGGACAAUCCUUGUACAAUCAGCCUGGUGCUGGUGCUGCUCCUGGACCGGGUGCUAGCAGCGAAUCAGGGCCAUCGGAAUCAACAGGCAAAGGACCCGAAGGAGAUGUCAUUGAUGCCGAUUUUAGUGACAGCAAAUGAAAAGAUUAAAAUUUGUUUUCCCCCCUAUUCUGAAUAGAAAAUUUUGCUCUCAACGGGCUCGGAUUUGUAUUCCGAUUUGAUUUUUCUGGGGCAG
rnacentral:lncRNA from 1 species